GAUUUUACAAGCGGUGGAACGGUUUCCUAAACCGUAGGUCGGAUGUUCGAGUCAUCCCGGGAUCGCCA
rnacentral:tRNA from 1 species